rnacentral:rRNA from 1 species
UAGAGUUUGAUCCUGGCUCAGGAUUAACGCUAGCGGCAGGCCUAAUACAUGCAAGUCGAACGGCAGCACGGGUAGCAAUACCUGGUGGCGAGUGGCGCACGGGUGCGUAACGCGUAUGCAAUCUACCUAUAACUGGGGAAUAGCCUUCCGAAAGGAAGAUUAAUACCGCAUAAAAUCACGAAGCGGCAUCGUUUUGUGAUCAAACCUCCGGGGGUUAUAGAUGAGCAUGCGUGACAUUAGCUAGUUGGUGAGGUAACGGCUCACCAAGGCGACGAUGUCUAGGGGGUCUGAGAGGAUGAUCCCCCACACUGGUACUGAGACACGGACCAGACUCCUACGGGAGGCAGCAGUAAGGAAUAUUGGACAAUGGCCGCAAGGCUGAUCCAGCCAUGCCGCGUGCAGGAUGAAGGUGCUCUGCAUUGUAAACUGCUUUUAUCUGGGAAUAAACCCCUUUACGUGUAGAGGGCUGAAUGUACCAGAAGAAUAAGGGUCGGCUAACUUCGUGCCAGCAGCCGCGGUAAUACGAAGGACCCAAGCGUUAUCCGGAUUUAUUGGGUUUAAAGGGUGCGUAGGCGGCUUAUUAAGUCAGUGGUGAAAGCCUGAAGCUUAACUUCAGAACUGCCAUUGAUACUGAUGAGCUUGAGUAUGGUUGAGGUGGGCGGAAUGUGUCAUGUAGCGGUGAAAUGCUUAGAUAUGACACAGAACACCGAUUGCGAAGGCAGCUCACUAAGCCAUAACUGACGCUGAUGCACGAAAGCGUGGGGAGCAAACAGGAUUAGAUACCCUGGUAGUCCACGCCCUAAACGAUGAUCACUCGAUGUGUGCGAUAUACUGUACGCGUCUGAGCGAAAGCAUUAAGUGAUCCACCUGGGGAGUACGACCGCAAGGUUGAAACUCAAAGGAAUUGACGGGGGCCCGCACAAGCGGAGGAGCAUGUGGUUUAAUUCGAUGAUACGCGAGGAACCUUACCUGGGCUAGAACGCUGGACGACCGUCCGUGAAAGCGGAUUUCCCUUCGGGGCGGCCAGCGAGGUGCUGCAUGGUUGUCGUCAGCUCGUGCCGUGAGGUGUCGGGUUAAGUCCCAUAACGAGCGCAACCCCUAUCAUUAGUUGCCAUCAGGUCAUGCUGGGAACUCUAGUGAAACUGCCUACGCAAGUAGAGAGGAAGGUGGGGAUGACGUCAAAUCAGCACGGCCCUUACGUCCAGGGCUACACACGUGCUACAAUGGCCGGUACAGUGGGCAGCUACCUGGUGACAGGAUGCAAAUCUCCAAAACCGGUCUCAGUUCGGAUCGAAGUCUGCAACUCGACUUCGUGAAGUUGGAUUCGCUAGUAAUCGUAUAUCAGCAAUGAUACGGUGAAUACGUUCCCGGGCCUUGUACACACCGCCCGUC